CUCCUACGGGAGGCAGCAGUGGGGAAUAUUGGACAAUGGGCGAAAGCCUGAUCCAGCCAUGCCGCGUGUGUGAAGAAGGUCUUCGGAUUGUAAAGCACUUUAAGUUGGGAGGAAGGGUUGUAGAUUAAUACUCUGCAAUUUUGACGUUACCGACAGAAUAAGCACCGGCUAACUCUGUGCCAGCAGCCGCGGUAAU
rnacentral:rRNA from 1 species